rnacentral:rRNA from 1 species
UACGUAGGGACCGAGCGUUGUCCGGAAUUACUGGGCGUAAAGAGCUCGUAGGCGGUGUGUCGCGUCGGCCGUGAAAACCUGCAGCUUAACUGUGGGCUUGCGGUCGAUACGGGCAUCACUGGAGUUCGGCAGGGGAGACUGGAAUUCCUGGUGUAGCGGUGAAAUGCGUAGAUAUCCGGAGGAAUACCAGUGGCGAAGGCGGCUUUCUGGUCUGAUUCUGACGCUGAGGAGCGAAAGCCAGGGGAGCGGAACGGGAUUAGAUGAACCCCAGUAGUCCCCAGGUACCAACGU